rnacentral:tRNA from 1 species
CGGUGGGUGGUGCAAUCAGUAGACACGCGAGUCUCAGAAGCUCGUGGGCAUCACGCCCGUGCAGGUGCAAGUCCUGUCCCACCGACCA